UGUAGUUUCUUAGCCUCUCCUCCGGGGGAGGGGGGCGUUUCACUGCCACCCUGGGUGGUUGGUCUGUGGAUUGUACCACCAGAGGCAACUUCUGCAUUUGCCUCGCUUAGCUUCGGUGUUCUCACAUGCUCAAACUUUCUGCCUAAAUUCUAGAAAAGUAAAAGGCUAAGUGCUUUUUUCUUGUAAAGGGCGUUCUCUACCUUCAGAUGAACAUUGGCUGAGGGCAGCAAAGAGGUCCUCAGAUAAUGGCAACGCCCUCCCUGUAUCUUUUUUAAGAAAGAAAAAACUUCUUUGUUUAUACUACUUAUUCAUCUGAGGAACUCAACAUAUUUUAUGCGUUGAAUCAUAAAAUGUUACAGCUGCUGAUUUUUCACAGCAUGUGAACUUGAUCCAAGUUUUGUUUUUUUUUUUUACCAAGAGCGGUUUUUAAUACCUACACAUUUUUUAAAAAGAAAACUUUUUUAUACAAAUAUUACAGUGUUAAGUGACACAGUCUGGCCCUAAAGUCAGGUGUCUGCUGAGCUCUGUGGGGUUUUCCUCUCUAUCCCUAUUUGGAAAGAGCAGAGCUUGAACCCCACGCUGUCAUUUUGUUGCUGGGUGAUCCCAGGUGAAUCUUUUCCCCCACUGAGCCUCUAAGCUCGCAUCUGUACAAUGGGUUUACAACUGUCCACUUUGUGGAUGGUUUGAGACCCAAGUUAGAGAUGAUGGAUGUAAGGAACCCAGGCCCUACCCAUCCCUUCUUGUUAUGAUUCACUAAGUUUCUUGUUUUUUCCCUUCCUAGCAGAGCAAUGCUUAUAUCAUCAUGCCACUGUGUGUUUCAGCAUCUGGCAUCAGAACCUGGGGAGAAGUCCACCACAAGAUGCAGGAAAAGUUUGCCAACCCCCGAUAUGAGAUCAUGGAUGAAAAGCACUUUAGAACAAUUCCUGGCACAGGCACACAGAGGGCGUAUCACGAGGGUGGCGCAUUGCGGCAUUUCACUGUCUGUUUCAUGGGCUGAUGACUUUUAGGGGGCUGCUUCUAGAUGCCAAAGGAAGGAGACAAGGAAAUAGGCCUCAGACUCGGGCUUUCUGCCUGGCCCUCCCUGACUCACUGAGCCAUACUGCACAAAUGAUUCAUUCACUGACCUCGACCUCAGUGGGUUUGGCCGCCCACUGAGAGUGAAGUCACACCUCCAGCUUUCCAAAGCAUUCAUUGGUUCACUCAUCCGCUUCAGGCAGGCAAGAAACAGGCCUGGCUGGCCUUGCUUGGGGUCAGGAAAACACACAAAUGCUUCUCGAUGUCCUGAAGUCAUGGCUGGACAGCUCAAUUCCAGCCUAAGAGAUCCUCCGAGGGACCUGAAGUGGAUUACUAGGGUUGUCGAAACAAAGUACCACAAGCUGAGCGACUUAACAUAACAGAAAUUGCUUGUCUCAUAGUUCUGGAAGCCAGAAGUGCAAGACCAAGGUAUUGACAAGGUUAGUUCCUUCUGAGGGCUGUGAGGGAGUAUGUGUCCCAGGCCUCUCUCUUAGCUUCUGGUGGCUGGCUGGCAAUCUUUGAUGUUCCUUGACUUGUAGAGGCAUCACCCCAAUCUCUGCCUUCAUCUUCAUCAGUCACAUCAGAUUAGGUCCCACCCUAAUGAUCUCAUGUUAACUUGAUUACCUCUGUAAAGGCCCUAUUUCCAAAUAAGUUCAUGUUCUGAGGUACUUGGGGUUAGGACUUAAGCAUACCUCUCAGGGGGAACAUAAUUCAACCCAAAACAGGGCCCCAAAGAUAGCCCCCUAAUAAUAACAUGUUCAAUACCAUAAAGAUGUCCAUUUGACCCAGGUAAAUAUAUCCAUUUAAAAUGAUCCUAAUGAAAAUACUGAGAGUAGAUUGGGGUUUUUUUUGUUUGUUUUUUGUUUUUAUUUUUCCUGGAGUUAAACAAGUUGAUUCUGAAGUUGAUAUGAAAUAAUUAUCAAGAAUGGCCAGGAAAACUUAAAAAGAAAGGCAGUGGGAUGGGGAUAAGUCCUACCAGAUAUUAAAACAUAUCAUAAAGCCCCAGCAUUAAAAUAGUGUAGUUAGGAACAUGACUAGCCAGACCGAACAACGGAACAGAAUAGAAAGUCCAGAAAGUUGCCCAAGUACAUAUGGAAAUUUGAUGUAUGAUGAAAGUGGCAUCUCAAAUCACUGGACAUGAUGGACUUCUUAAUAAGUGGUCUUGGGACAAUUGGACGGCCAUUUGGAAAAAAGAUAAAAGGGGACCCAUACCUCACACCAAACACUUGAAUAAAUACCCAAUGAGCCAGAGAUUCAGAUUUUUUAAAGUGAAACCUUAAAACCUGUAGAAGAAAACAUGAGGGGAUUCCUUUAUAACUCAGGAAUGAGAAAAGCCUUUCAAUGUAGGACUUGAUAAAUUCAGCUACAUAAAAAUUAAAGCUAAAUUUAAAAAAAGCUUUUUAUGGCAAAAAAAAGAAACCUGCACAAGCAAAAAUUUAAAAAAAAAAGACAAAUGGGAGCCAAUAUUUGCAACAUAGAGACAAAGGCUAAUUUCACCAAUAUUUAAGGAGUAUUUAAAAACAGAUAUGAAAAAAAUUAAAAUAUGAUUUUAAAAUGGACAAAAGUGGGAAUUCCCUGGCGGUACAGUGGUUAGCACUCCACGCUUCCAUCGCAGGGGGCAUGGGUUCGAUCCCUGGUUGGGGAACUAAGAUCCUGCAUUCUAUGUGGUGCGGCCAAAAAUAAAAUAAAAUAAAAUGGACACAAGCCAUGAGCAGAUAGUUCCAGAAAAAGAGAUGCGGAAGGACCCUGAGCAUGUGAGAAGACGCUCAUUUGUAAUCAUAAUAAGAGACAAGAAAAUUCUAAUCACACUGAGAGACCCUCAUCCUUCAGUUUGGCAAAAAUCCAAAAAUUUGAUGGUACUGUCUGCUGAGAAGUGAAAUUUGAAUAUGAAUUGGACAUUAGGUGAUAUUAUAGACGUAUUCACUUUUUGGUGGUUACUUAGGAGACCGUCUCCUUCUUAAGAGAUGCGCGCUGAAGUAUUUAGUGGUAAAAGGUCAUGAUGUUAGCAACUUCCUUGAAAUGUUCAGAAGAAAAUAAAAACAGCAGUAAAUAAAUUAAAUAUGGCACAACAUGAACAAUUGUUGAGUCUAUGUGGUGGGUAUAAGGGUGUCCAUGGAUGGCAUUCUUCUUUCAACCUUUCCGCAUGCCUGAAAUUUUUCAUAAUAAAAUGUGAGGUCCAGUCACAUGGCCUCAAGGUGAACUCUGGGUGAAGUGGAAGCUGUCAGCGAAAGCAGCUAGCUCGGCUGAGACAGUAAUAAUUAUUAACAUGAUCCAGCACUUACUGUGGGCACCGGGCACUAUUUCAACAGCCAACUCAUUAAUCUUUACUGUCCUCGUUUACAGACGAGGAAACUGAGGCAUCAGCAAUCUGCAAAAUCCACAGAGAUUUGUACUCUCCCAGCUCUGCCGAUUGAUUUAAAUCUGUGCCAGUGCCUGAGGAUUGCUAAUAGGCUUUGAAGAAGCAGCCUUAAAUCGAACUGUUAUUAAAUUGGACUAAGUUCUUUUACUCAAGCAAAAGGGUUCAGCCAAAGGGUUAGCAGGGAUCUUUCUGAUGCAUCUUAUAAACAUUAGCCAUUUAUAAGGGCUAACGUUCUGUUCUCUAAUUUAGACUGAAUACCUUCAGGCUCACUUAAGGAGAGAGAAUGAGGAGAUUAUAAUAAAGCAAUUGUGCAUUCAGUCUAAUGAUUCACCUAGCAACCCGUCAAUGGCUCUUGAUGUUGUAAGAAUGCAAAAAUCGUGUAAAGCUUGGAGCAGCUAAUUCUAUAGAAGGGACAGGAAGCCUCCCCGCCAUUGGUCAACAUCUAUGGAAAAUCAGGUAUUUAUUGCGUACAAUGCAAUGGGGAACAAACGCUUCAUGGAGCUUACAGUCUAGGGGGUGCGGCAACAGACAUCACAGUAAGAGCCAGGCACCCCCCACACAAAUAGCUACAUUUCAAGACACUCCCUCUGCAGUUGGGCUGGGCUGGCUUAGCAUCUUGGCUACUUCCUUCAUGUGACCUUGAGCAGGAGGCUUAAUAAGCUCCCUGAGGCUCAGUUUCACUACGUUUAAAUGGAAACAAUAAUUACUUUCUUGCUAGGGUCAUCAUGAGAAUAAGAAACAACUCAAACAGCCGGCAUAUCAUUUUUAUUGUUAUGAUAAGGAUGAUGACAAUAUAAUAAAUGCCGGAUGAACGGUACAGAAAAAGGGGGGAGGGGAAUACCUCUUCCUGGAGGGGGAUGGUAUGCAUGAGGGUUUUCAGGAGAAUGGGGUAGUUGGUGCUGGGUCUUAAAGGAGGGGUUGGAUUUCUGUACAAGGAAGUGGCCAAGAGUGAAUCAGUUCA